GACGAACGCUGGCGGCGCGCCUAACACAUGCAAGUCGAACGGAGCUGCGAGAAGCUUGCUUUUCUUAGCUUAGUGGCGAACGGGUGAGUAACGCGUGAGUAACCUGCCCUGGAGUGGGGGACAACAGUUGGAAACGACUGCUAAUACCGCAUAAGCCCACGAUCCGGCAUCGGAUUGAGGGAAAAGGAUUUAUUCGCUUCAGGAUGGACUCGCGUCCACUUAGCUAGGUGGUGAGGUAACGGCCCACCAAGGCGACGAUUGGUAGCCGGGCUGAGAGGUUGAACGGCCACAUUGGGACUGCGACACGGCCCAGACUCCUACGGGAGGCAGCAGUGGGUGAUAUUGCACAAUGGGGGAAACCCUGAUGCAGCGACGCCGCGGGGAGGAAGAAGGUUUUCGGAUUGUAAACUCCUGUCGUUAGGGACGAUAAUGACGGUACCUAACAAGAAAGCACCGGCUAACUACGUG
rnacentral:rRNA from 1 species